CGGUCCAUCGGGACCUCGGAUACCUGCGUUUAGUUUU
rfam:Rattus norvegicus chromosome X, whole genome shotgun sequence.